ensembl:lncRNA
AAAGAACUGGUGAGAGGCAGUAAUAAAGCAGCUGACAAUACAUGGAAAACAUAUUGAACAGUCAACACCUUCUAUUCACCCAUAGAAUGAUUCCUGGGCGGGAUUAGCAGAGAAGAGACAAGAAGGAGUGCAUAUAUCAUUCACUGGGGGACAGUAACGUGCCUUAUGGAGAUACAGUGAAUUGCCUGUUUCAUGGCACUAAUCUGAAAGCAUCCUUGAAUUCAAUUCAACAGCGUGACUGCCAGACAGCUCUUGAAACCAACAUUAUUCACCAUAGCCAAGAUGUGGAAGCAACCCAAAUGGCCGUCAAUUGAUGAUUGGAUAUAGAAGAUGUGUGGGUUUAGUGAAUGAAGUGCUGUGGAGCCAGUUACUGGACACUCUACACAUGGAAGGACUUCUUGGACAGUUGCUUUCCCAACAUAUCUUACUUGUUCCAUAGUACAAUGUUCCUAUAUGAGAAGAUUUUCUAUUUGUCGUCUACAGUGAAAACAGAACUUAGUACCAGACCACAUCAGGUUCCAGGGCUGACUGUGCAUCGACGUCUGGCUUGGACAGGUCUAAUGAGCUGGGGUCUCAUACUAUGAGUUCUAGAGAGCCGGAAAGCUUCAUUGAGCAAUAAUUGACAUAUAACUGUGUAACUUUAAGGUGAUGAUUUGAAACAUUUACGUAUUAUGAAUGAUGACCACAAUGAGGUUAGUUAACACUUCCAUCAUCUCACAAUGAUCACCACAAGACUAGUUAACAUCCAUCACCAAACAUAGUUACAAUUUUCUUUCUACUGACGAGAACUUUUAAGAUCCACCAUCUUGGGGCUGGCCCCAAGGCCGAUUGGUUAAGUUCGUGCACUCCACUUCGAUGGCCCAGGAUCCCAGGCAUGGACCUAGCACCGCACAUCAAGCCAUGCUGAGGUGGAGUCCCACAUAGCAGAACCAGAGGGACCUGCAACUAGAAUAUACGACUAUGCAUUGGAGGGUUUUGGGGAGAAGAAGAAAAUGAAGAAGAAGAAGACUGGCAACAAAUGUUAGCUCAGGUGCCAAUCUUUGGGGGAAAAAAAGAUCUAUGGUCUUGGUAACUUUCAAUACAAUACCGUAUUAUUAACUAUAGUCACCAUGCUGUACAUUACAUCCCAAGGACUUAUUUAUUUUAUAACUAGAAGUUUGUACUUUUUGACCCCUUCACCCAUUUCCCACCCACUCCACCCCCCACCUCUGGCAACCACCAAUCUAUCCUCUGUAUCAAGUUCAGUUUUCUUUUUUAAGAUUCCACAUAUAAGUUAGAUCAUACAAUAUUUGUCUUUCUCUGUCUGAUUUAUUUCACUUAGCAUAAUGCCCUCAAUGCCCCCA